rnacentral:rRNA from 1 species
AUUGAACGCUGGCGGCAGGCCUAACACAUGCAAGUCGAGCGGAUGAGUGGAGCUUGCUCCAUGAUUCAGCGGCGGACGGGUGAGUAAUGCCUAGGAAUCUGCCUGGUAGUGGGGGACAACGCUUCGAAAGGAACGCUAAUGCCGCAUACGUCCUACGGGAGAAAGCAGGGGACCUUCGGGCCUUGCGCUAUCAGAUGAGCCUAGGUCGGAUUAGCUAGUAGGUGAGGUAAUGGCUCACCUAGGCGACGAUCCGUAACUGGUCUGAGAGGAUGAUCAGUCACACUGGAACUGAGACACGGUCCAGACUCCUACGGGAGGCAGCAGUGGGGAAUAUUGGACAAUGGGCGAAAGCCUGAUCCAGCCAUGCCGCGUGUGUGAAGAAGGUCUUCGGAUUGUAAAGCACUUUAAGUUGGGAGGAAGGGCAGUAAGAUAAUACCUUGCUGUUUUGACGUUACCAACAGAAUAAGCACCGGCUAACUUCGUGCCAGCCGCCGCCGUAAGAC